AGAGUUUGAUCCUGGCUCAGAAUGAACGCUGGCGGCGUGCUUAACACAUGCAAGUCGCACGAGAACCCCCCUGCUUGCAGGGGCUAGUAAAGUGGCGCACGGGUGAGUAUCGCGUGGAUAAUCUACCUUCGAAUCCGGGAUAACACUGCGAAAGCGGUGCUAAUACCGGAUAACAUUCGGCGGUCUUCGGACCGCUUGAUCAAAGGUGGCCUCUACAUGUAAGCUACUGUUCGAAGAGGAGUCCGCGUACCAUUAGCUUGUUGGCGGGGUAAAGGCCCACCAAGGCUACGAUGGUUAGCUGGUCUGAGAGGAUGAUCAGCCACACUGGAACUGACACACGGUCCAGACUCCUACGGGAGGCAGCAGUGAGGAAUUUUGCGCAAUGGGGGAAACCCUGACGCAGCAACGCCGCGUGAGUGAUGAAGGCCCUCGGGUCGUAAAGCUCUGUCAAGUGGGAAGAACCAGCUCCGUGCCAAUACCACGGAGCCCUGACGGUACCACUGAAGGAAGCACCGGCUAACUCCGUGCCAGCAGCCGCGGUAAUACGGAGGGUGCGAGCGUUAUUCGGAUUUAUUGGGCGUAAAGGGCACGCAGGCGGCUGUCUAAGUCAGAUGUGAAAGCCCGGGGCUCAACCCCGGAAGUGCAUUUGAAACUGGGCAGCUUGAGUAUGGGAGAGGGAAGUGGAAUUCCUGGUGGAGAGGUGAAAUUCGUAGAUAUCAGGAGGAACACCGGUGGCGAAGGCGACUUCCUGGACCAAUACUGACGCUGAGGUGCGAAGGCGUGGGGAGCAAACAGGAUUAGAUACCCUGGUAGUCCACGCAGUAAACGUUGAUCACUAGGUGUAGCGGGUAUUGACCCCUGCUGUGCCGCAGCUAACGCAUUAAGUGAUCCGCCUGGGGAGUACGGCCGCAAGGUUAAAACUCAAAGGAAUUGACGGGGGCCCGCACAAGCGGUGGAGCAUGUGGUUUAAUUCGACGCAACGCGAAAAACCUUACCUGGGUUUGACAUCCCGGGAAUCCCUCUGAAAAGAGGAAGUGCCCUUCGGGGAGCCCGGUGACAGGUGCUGCAUGGCUGUCGUCAGCUCGUGUCGUGAGAUGUUGGGUUAGGUCCCGCACGAGCGCACCCCUACUUUAGUUGCCAUCAUUUGGUUGGGACUCUAAUGGACUGCCCCGGUUAACGGGAGAAGGGGGAGACGUCAGUCCUCAUGGCUUAUGCCAGGCUACACCGUGCUACAUGGCGUACAAGGUGCGAUCCCAGGGACCAUCCAAAGCGUUCUCGUCGGAUGAUCUGACUCACUCUGAGUGAUCCUGUAUCGACACAGCCGGUGAACAUCCCGCCUUGACACCGCCGUCACCAGAGAUGUUGUCCAAUGUGCGCAACCUUCGGAGCAGCCCUGUGA
rnacentral:rRNA from 1 species